ACGGAGGGUGCAAGCGUUAAUCGGAAUUACUGGGCGUAAAGCGCACGUAGGCUGCAGUUUAAGUCAGGGGUGAAAUCCCACGGCUCAACCGAGGAACUGCCUUUGAUACUGUACAACUUGAGUCCGGGAGAGGGUAGAGGAAUUCCGGGUGUAGAAGUGAAAUCCGUAGAUAUCUGGAGGAACACCAGUGGCGAAGGCGGCCACCUGGACCGGUAUUGACGCUGAGGUGCGAAAGCGUGGGGAGCAAACAG
rnacentral:rRNA from 1 species